GGCGACCGCUCCACGGUCGGAAUUCAGGAAGGGCGCUCCUGUCCUGAGCAGUGCCGCGCUGCUGCUGGGAAAGCCGGUGCUGUGCUAGCGGCCGCUGUGUGCUCUGUCCCUUCCCCAGCCCGUAGGGGAGACGCAGACUCUCGGGUCCCGAAGCCCGUAGUUGUCGGCUCGCACGUUGCCGUGCGGUGGUCGAACGGGAGGUCCGGAUGGAGUGAGAAGAAUCCCGACGCCGUGCUGGAGUCACACGGGUCGGCUGGGUGCCGUGGUGGUCCUUUGCUACGCAAGGACCUUAUAAGGUUUCCCCACCGAGGGGCCCCUGUAGCUUGGCAUUCUCACUGCAUUUGGACUCUGUGUACUUAGUUGGAGAAAGGGUCAGGAUUUCAUACUGAGCUUUGCUUCCAGAUUAUAUGCAUUUCUUGAAAACAGCUCAGUACAUACUAAGAAGAGGCCUAGCGUGCAUCCAUCACCACUGAGCUAUAAACCAUGAAAGAAGUUGGAAACGGCAGCUUUGACAAAAAACUUUUCUCUUGUGGGUAUUACUAUCAAAAAUAGGAGUGAUAUGCUCAUCUUCAGAUGUGCUUUCCAAGGUGGCAUGCAGUCCAGAGGGAUCUUCAGCCAUCUCUAGUUGGAUCAGCUCAUCCAGACCUGCUAAGAAAAAGAACACCUUGUCUGAGAAACUUUCACAAAC